GAUGAAGAACGUAGCGAAAUGUGAUAAGUAAUGUGAAUUGCAGGAUUCAGUGAAUCAUCGAAUCUUUGAACGCACAUUGCGCCCGCCAGUAUUCUGGCGGGCAUGCCUGUCUGAGCGUCAUUUCAACCCUCAAGCAACUUCUGCUUGGUGUUGGGGAUCGGCCGUCAAACGCCGCCCCCGAAAUCUAUUGGCGAUCUCGCUGUAGCUUCCUAUGCGUAGUAGUAACAUCUCGCAUCUGGAGAGCGGCGCGGUCAUGCCGUAAAACACCCAACUUCUCAGGUUGACCUCAGAUCAGGUAGGAAUACCCGCUGAACUUAAGCAUAUCAAUAAGCGGAGGA
rnacentral:misc_RNA from 1 species